rnacentral:rRNA from 1 species
GGGUCAGUAGGUUGGUCGUGCCACCGGUACGUACUGGUCUCACUGAUUCCUCCUUCCUGAAGAACCGUAAUGCCAUUAAUUUGGUGUUGCGGGGAAACAGGACUGUUACUUUGAAAAAAUUAGAGUGUUUAAAGCAAGCUAACGCUUGAAUACAUUAGGAUGGAAUAAUGAAAUAGGACGAUCGAUCCUAUUUUGUUGGUUUCUAUGAUUGACGUA